rnacentral:rRNA from 1 species
ACGCUAGCUACAGGCUUAACACAUGCAAGUCGAGGGGCAGCAUGGUCUUAGCUUGCUAAGGCCGAUGGCGACCGGCGCACGGGUGAGUGACACGUAUCCAACCUGCCGUCUACUCUUGGACAGCCUUCUGAAAGGAAGAUUAAUACAAGAUGGCAUCAUGAGUCCGCAUGUUCACAUGAUUAAAGGUAUUCCGGUAGACGAUGGGGAUGCGUUCCAUUAGAUAGUAGGCGGGGUAACGGCCCACCUAGUCUUCGAUGGAUAGGGGUUCUGAGAGGAAGGUCCCCCACAUUGGAACUGAGACACGGUCCAAACUCCUACGGGAGGCAGCAGUGAGGAAUAUUGGUCAAUGGGCGAGAGCCUGAACCAGCCAAGUAGCGUGAAGGAUGACUGCCCUAUGGGUUGUAAACUUCUUUUAUAAAGGAAUAAAGUCGGGUAUGGAUACCCGUUUGCAUGUACUUUAUGAAUAAGGAUCGGCUAACUCCGUGCCAGCAGCCGCGGUAAUACGGAGGAUCCGAGCGUUAUCCGGAUUUAUUGGGUUUAAAGGGAGCGUAGAUGGAUGUUUAAGUCAGUUGUGAAAGUUUGCGGCUCAACCGUAAAAUUGCAGUUGAUACUGGAUAUCUUGAGUGCAGUUGAGGCAGGCGGAAUUCGUGGUGUAGCGGUGAAAUGCUUAGAUAUCACGAAGAACUCCGAUUGCGAAGGCAGCCUGCUAAGCUGCAACUGACAUUGAGGCUCGAAAGUGUGGGUAUCAAACAGGAUUAGAUACCCUGGUAGUCCACACGGUAAACGAUGAAUACUCGCUGUUUGCGAUAUACUGCAAGCGGCCAAGCGAAAGCGUUAAGUAUUCCACCUGGGGAGUACGCCGGCAACGGUGAAACUCAAAGGAAUUGACGGGGGCCCGCACAAGCGGAGGAACAUGUGGUUUAAUUCGAUGAUACGCGAGGAACCUUACCCGGGCUUAAAUUGCAGAUGAAUUACGGUGAAAGCCGUAAGCCGCAAGGCAUCUGUGAAGGUGCUGCAUGGUUGUCGUCAGCUCGUGCCGUGAGGUGUCGGCUUAAGUGCCAUAACGAGCGCAACCCUUGUUGUCAGUUACUAACAGGUUCCGCUGAGGACUCUGACAAGACUGCCAUCGUAAGAUGUGAGGAAGGUGGGGAUGACGUCAAAUCAGCACGGCCCUUACGUCCGGGGCUACACACGUGUUACAAUGGGGGGUACAGAGGGCCGCUACCACGCGAGUGGAUGCCAAUCCCCAAAACCUCUCUCAGUUCGGACUGGAGUCUGCAACCCGACUCCACGAAGCUGGAUUCGCUAGUAAUCGCGCAUCAGCCACGGCGCGGUGAAUACGUUCCCGGGCCUUGUACACACCGCCCGUCAAGCCAUGGGAGCCGGGGGUACCUGAAGUGCGUAACCGCGAGGAGCGCCCUAGGGUAAAACUGGUGACUGGGGC